UGUGAACAGAAACUGAGAGGAGGGAAGACAGGCACAAUAACAGACAGGGAGAAGAUUUUGUGUUACAGUUUAGAUACGGGAUCCCAGCAGAUACUCGAGGGAUGAAAUCCAGGAUGUAUACACAACUUCAGGUCUGAAGCUCAAGGGGCCACGCCAAGUCACUGAUGCACAGGAAAAUGGGUGGAUCUUGAGCAAAAAUAAGUACAACUCAGAGAGACAAACAUUGCAAGUUCUUCCUACGGAGAAGCUAAGUGAUGCCAAGAAAGGAGGAGGAGACUGCUAUUGGUCAAGAGGAAGGGAAUAAGGAAGAGCAGUCUCCCCAGCCCUGCUGAUAAUCCUGAAUUUCCCACUGGACGCUCAUAUUCCUGGAGGUGCACCAUUCUAGAAGGUUCUGCACUGUGCUGUCAGCUUACUCCAGUCUCGGGGAAAGAAAAGAAAGGCAACAAAGGAAGAGAAUCAAGCAUCUCUCUCCACAGGAAUGAUGACCAUCUAACAGCCCACAGAUG